rnacentral:rRNA from 1 species
GAGAGUAUCCUCAGGUGAGCGAGAGAACUCUCGUUAAGGAACUCGGCAAAAUGGCCCCGUAACUUCGGGAGAAGGGGCGCUGGUCGCAAGAUCAGCCGCAGUGAAAAGGCCCAAGCAACUGUUUAUCAAAAACACAGGCAUCUGCAAAAUCGUAAGAUGAAGUAUAGGUGCUGACACCUGCCCGGUGCUGGAAGGUUAAGAGGAGAGCUUAGCGCAAGCGAAGGUUUGAAUUGAAGCCCCAGUAAACGGCGGCCGUAACUAUAACGGUCCUAAGGUAGCGAAAUUCCUUGUCGGGUAAGUUCCGACCUGCACGAAAGGUGUAAUGAUUUGGGCACUGUCUCAACGAGAGACUCGGUGAAAUUAUAAUACCCGUGAAGAUGCGGGUUACCCGCGACAGGACGGAAAGACCCCAUGGAGCUUUACUGCAGUUUAAUAUUGGGUAUCUGUCAAGCAUGUACAGGAUAGGUAGGAGCCGGAGAAGAUAGGACGCCAGUCUUAUCAGAGGCGCUGUUGGGAUACUACCCUUGCUUGACGGAUGCUCUAACU